UAGGGAAUCUUCCGCAAUGGGCGAAAGCCUGACGGAGCAACGCCGCGUGAGUGAUGAAGGUCUUCGGAUCGUAAAACUCUGUUAUUAGGGAAGAACAUAUGUGUAAGUAACUGUGCACGUCUUGACGGUACCUAAUCAGAAAGCCACGGCUAACUACGUGCCAGCAGCCGCGGUAAUACGUAGGUGGCAAGCGUUAUCCGGAAUUAUUGGGCGUAAAGCGCGCGUAGGCGGUUUUUUAAGUCUGAUGUGAAAGCCCACGGCUCAACCGUGGAGGGUCAUUGGAAACUGGAAAACUUGAGUGCAGAAGAGGAAAGUGGAAUUCCAUGUGUAGCGGUGAAAUGCGCAGAGAUAUGGAGGAACACCAGUGGCGAAGGCGACUUUCUGGUCUGUAACUGACGCUGAUGUGCGAAAGCGUGGGGAUCAAACAGGAUUAGAUACCCUGGUAGCCCACGCCGUAAACGAUGAGUGCUAAGUGUUAGGGGGUUUCCGCCCCUUAGUGCUGCAGCUAACGCAUUAAGCACUCCGCCUGGGGAGUACGACCGCAAGGUUG
rnacentral:rRNA from 1 species